GAUGAACGCUGGCGGCGUGCUUAACACAUGCAAGUCGAACGAAGCACUUAAGAUUGAUUCUUCGGAUGACGUCUUUUGUGACUUAGUGGCGGACGGGUGAGUAACGCGUGGUAACCUGCCUCACACAGGGGGAUAACAGUUAGAAAUGACUGCUAAUACCGCAUAACCCGAUAGGAUCGCAUGAUCCAGACGGAAAAGAUUUAUCGGUGUGAGAUGGACCCGCGUCUGAUUAGCUAGUUGGUGAGGUAACGGCCCACCAAGGCGACGAUCAGUAGCCGGCCUGAGAGGGUGAACGGCCACAUUGGGACUGAGACACGGCCCAAACUCCUACGGGAGGCAGCAGUGGGGAAUAUUGCACAAUGGGGGAAACCCUGAUGCAGCGACGCCGCGUGAGUGAAGAAGUAUUUCGGUAUGUAAAGCUCUAUCAGCAGGGAAGAAAAUGACGGUACCUGACUAAGAAGCCCCGGCUAACUACGUG
rnacentral:rRNA from 1 species